GCUAUCCUCGAACUGGUAUUAGGGUCAGGCUCUUUCCAUAAGGUUCACCAAAAUCUGUGCCUACGUCUGUAGCUGGGAAUGAUGUUCAAUCCAGUGUAAAAUCUCUUAAUUUUUCCUUUUCGAAUACGCAGCUACUACGAAAUUCACACCCCUCCUCCGGGAAAAACGAAACGCGAAUACUGAAAGUGCACGAUCUUCCCAGAAAGAGGCUAGGCCUUAUUAAAAUACUGCUCAGAUGACAUACAAAUAAGCCAGAACAAUCCUCCUCCAAUUGAAUAAAAACAUUCUCCCAGCAUACAGAAGCAAGAACUAAGCUUCAGCCAUUUCCUCUUGUUGAGGCUUGACUUUGAGAAGGAGACAAGGCUGUAUGGGCCUGCUAUCAGGAGGGCAAGAAGACUCUGUGAGAAGGUGGACCACAGAUGUUCCCUUCUUGUCUACCAUCAGCCUUUCCAUCACACUUCUGAGCAAUGGUGGUCUUGGGAAAGAUACUCUCUGGGUUUACCAAUCUCCUGGAGCUGACGAACACAGCAGAAGCAGGGUGAGAUCCAUGGGUGGAACCACGCCACUUUUCUCAGACAAAGAGCUGGCCACAGAGUGCGUUUCAAAACAGAUUAACAAAAACAACAGCUACACACCAUGACAAAGUGCAUGUGGUGGAAAUGAAAAUAUUUACCCACAGAUUAUCACAGAUCUAGCAAUGUGACUACCGUGGAUCUAGGACCAAAGGAUUCAAAAUAGUGUAUGUUUAGAGCUAAUUAGGGAAUCUGGUAGGGUUGGUCUGAAGGACCACUUUUUAAUCUUCUAAGAGUACAGUUGUCAUUUCUUCACCUCUCCUACCUCAGGGUGGUGAAAUAACAGUCUUUUCAUACCUAUGUGUUGGGUGGGGGAGGGAAGAAUUCCUCUGCUGUUAAACACAACUUCUCAUUAAAUAGUUGACACCUUAUCCUUCUUUAAAUGUUGUAAUGUUUACUUUGCAAAACCCAGGAAAGCUUUUAAAAUAAAG